rnacentral:rRNA from 1 species
GUCCAUGCCCUAAACGAUGGGUACUAGGUGUGAGGACUAUUUAAUGUCCUUGUGCCGAAGCUAACGCAUUAAGUACCCCACCUGGGAAGUACGGCCGCAAGGUUGAAACUCAAAGGAAUUGACGGGGGCCCGCACAAGCGGUGGAGCAUGUGGUUCAAUUCGACGCUACGCGAAGAACCUUACCUGGGCUUGACAUCCGGAGAAUCCCCUGGAAACAGGGGAGUGCCCGCAAGGGAGCUCCGAGACAGGUGCUGCAUGGCUGUCGU